rnacentral:rRNA from 1 species
AGAGUUUGAUCCUGGCUCAGAACGAACGCUAGCGGCGUGCCUAACACAUGCAAGUCGAGCGCGAACUCUCUCUUCGGAGGGCUAGUAGAGCGGCGAACGGGUGAGUAACACGUAGGUAAUCUACCUAAGGGCCCGGAACAACCUGUCGAAAGACGGGCUGAUACCGGAUAAGACCACGAGGGCUGCGGCCCACGCGGUAAAAGGUGGCCUCUUCUUGAAAGCUAUCACCUUUAGAUGAGCCUGCGGGUCAUUAGCUUGUUGGUGGGGUAACGGCCUACCAAGGCUAAGAUGACUAGCUGGUCUGAGAGGAUGGUCAGCCACACUGGGACUGAGACACGGCCCAGACUCCUACGGGAGGCAGCAGUGGGGAAUAUUGCGCAAUGGGCGAAAGCCUGACGCAGCGACGCCGCGUGAGUGAUGAAGGCCUUCGGGUCGUAAAGCUCUGUCAGGAGGGACGAAAUCUUGCCGGUCGAAUACACCGGUGACUUGACGGUACCUCCAAAGGAAGCACCGGCUAACUCCGUGCCAGCAGCCGCGGUAAUACGGAGGGUGCAAGCGUUGUUCGGAAUUACUGGGCGUAAAGCGCGUGUAGGCGGCACUUUAAGUCUGAUGUGAAAGUCCGGGGCUCACCCCCGGAAGUGCAUUGGAA